rnacentral:rRNA from 1 species
CGAGCACGCGCGUGUGGCAUAUCAAUAAGCGGAGGAAAAGAAACUAACAAGGAUUCCCUUAGUAACGGCGAGUGGAGCGGGAAGAGCUCAAAUUUGAAAUCUUCAAGGUUCUACCUUGACGAAUUGUAGUUUAUAGAAGUGUUUUCUGUUAGUGGAGUGGCAAAAGUUCUUUGGAAUAGGACAUCAUAGAGGGUGAGAAUCCCGUAUUUGGUCAUUCCUCCUAGCGUUGUGAUACACUUUCAACGAGUCGGAUUGUUUGGGAAUGCAGUCCAAAAUGGGUGGUAAAUUUCAUCUAAGCUAAAUAUUGGCGAGAGACCGAUAGCGAACAAGUACCGUGAGGGAAAGAUGAAAAGAACUUUGAAGAGAGAGUUAAACAGUACGUGAAAUUGUCAAAAGGGAAGCGUUUGACACCAGUGUUGUUUUUCCGAAAAUCAAUUACGAAUGUUUUAUUUUUGAGGAGUUAUGACUUCAUCGGCUUGCUCCUUUCUUUAUGAAACUUUCUUAAUGCACUUUUCGGUUAACAAGUCAACAUCAAUUUCUUUUGUUGUAAAAGGGUAUGAGGAAGGUGGCUUUCUUUUCGGAGAAAGUGUUUAUAGCCUUGUGCCUCUGCAAUCGGAGAGAUUGAGGUCUGCAGCGUAGAUCCUUCGGGGUUAGAUACAUUUGUGCUAAGUUAUAGCUUUUCAUAGACAACUUGUUGACUAUGUUUAGUCUCGUAGCUUACUCGCUUACUGCUAUUUUACCUACGCUUAGGAUGUUGAUGUGAUACUGCGAGCA